UACGUAGGGGGCGAGCGUUGUCCGGAAUCAUUGGGCGUAAAGAGCUCGUAGGCGGUUCAGCAAGUCGGCUGUGAAAUUCCGAGGCUCAACCUCGGAACUGCAGUCGAUACUGCUGUGACUCGAGUCCGGUAGAGGAGAAUGGAAUUCCCGGUGUAGCGGUGAAAUGCGUAGAUAUCGGAAGGAACAUCAGUGGCGAAAGCGACUUCCUGGACCAAUACUGACGCUCAUGUGCGAAAGCGUGGGGAGCAAACAGG
rnacentral:rRNA from 1 species